UACGUAGGGUGCGAGCGUUGUCCGGAAUUACUGGGCGUAAAGAGCUCGUAGGCGGUUUGUCGCGUCUGCCGUGAAAGUCCGGGGCUCAACUCCGGAUCUGCGGUGGGUACGGGCAGACUAGAGUGAUGUAGGGGAGACUGGAAUUCCUGGUGUAGCGGUGAAAUGCGCAGAUAUCAGGAGGAACACCAGUGGCGAAGGCGGCUCACUGGCCCGAUACUGACGCUGAGGUGCGAAAGCGUGGGGAGCAAACAGG
rnacentral:rRNA from 1 species